AAAAGAGCCGCAUGCCGGACAACAGGACUAUACCAAGUCAUACAGAAGAGAAAGAAUCCAUUUCGCCGGUAAACAACAGACUAAACGAUCGACCAAAUACGUGCCGAACACUUCGAACAAUAUGUGAAGUUUUUAUCCGCAGUUUCACCCCCGUUGUUGGUUUAAACCGCAGUAACAGAACGGAAGUUAGUUUUACAUUUAACGGCCGGACCCCGUGAAUGGUUUGUUCUAUCAGAUGAUUUCCAGCAGCUGAAAAUGACCCUGCUGUCUGAGGAGAGCACACCACUAAACUCGAGCAGGAGACUUUCUGACCUUGGACGCAACAAAGCCUGUGGUGCCCUUCUUUGAGAAGGAAGGACUAAUUACUUCAGUGCUGGAUAUGGAACAGUAACUGCCUGGUCCUGGACUGUCAUCCUGAAACAAAUACACAUUAUUAUGUUAAUGUUUAUCCUGUAUGAUUGCUUAUGUAAAAUGACUUAAAUGUCCUACCAGAGAGAUUUGUGAAGGAAAUCUCUUAGCUUGAGAUGAAAACCCCUUCUUUUCUGGAUUUGUUAUCACCAUUUUAUGGUAUAUUGUCGUCACGGACGAUGCAGCUAGAAUCUUAUCUGGUUUCAGAUUAAAUUAACUCUUCUAUAAUGCAAUGUUCUAUUUCUCAGGCGUAAUCCAGACUCACUCACAGUCAUGAAAUCCUCAGUUCAUGUUGCCCAUGUUGAAGUAACAGGAAGAAAGUGACUGAGUGAGGGAGUAAAUCUGAAGACAUAUUGCCAUGGCGACGUAAAAACAGAGUGUGAUUGGACAUGGGGUUGCCAGAUUGGACUGUAAGGCACUCUGCUGUGCUGUCAAACAAAAAUGUGGGGAAAGUUUCUAAUAAAUGAGUCAAAUCUGAACACAAAGACACGAUGCAUUUACAGCAUGUAAAUAUCUAGAAAUCAUUGUUUUUGUUGAACUUAUUUGUGAAUUGACAUAUUUUAAACUACGAAAUCAUGAAAGGGCCCUCGCAUCUCCCAUGCAAGUUGUUUUUUAUGUUGGUACAAUAAAUACGAGUUUGUUCAUGUAUGUAGGGUGCAAAUCGUCAAAAUGGACGCCAAAAUUAAAUCUGGCUGACUUCCGUUUGAAUCAAG